UUCAAUCAGAGAAUAUGGAGCAUAACAAGAACAUGUACGAGCGUGUCAAUGUCAUUGCUUCAAAGAAGGGUUGUACCCCAUCACAGCUAGCAUUGGCCUGGGUGCAUCAUCAGGGAAACGAUGUUUGUCCCAUUCCUGGCACCACCAAGAUUGAAAACCUCAAUCAGAAUAUAGGAGCUUUGUCUGUAAAACUGUCUGCAGAAGAUAUGGCUGAACUGGAAUCCAUUGCUUCAGCUGGAAUCAAGGGUGACAGACUUCCCCCUGGCUUUGAUAGUUGGAAAACCUCCGAUACUCCACCUCUGUCAACGUGGAAGGCCACAUGAAUACUGCCUUUGUUAUGCUAAUAAUUCAUGUAGCUAUCUAUCUGAAUAAUGCAUUUUCACUGUUGUUGAGGGUGAGUGAAUUGUAACUGUUCCAAUAAACUGCAACCUAAGUGACAGUGUUCUGUUGAGGGUUGAUUCAUUUUAGAGUUAUCUUAUACAAGGUAAAGAACUAAAUAUAGAGGUUGUAAUGGAUAGAAAUCUGGUAAUGUAAAAAAAUUUCUGGCUGGUCUUUUCGC
rnacentral:lncRNA from 1 species